rfam:Candidatus Atelocyanobacterium thalassa isolate ALOHA, complete genome.
GCCACGUUAGCUCAGUUGGUAGAGCACAUCACUCGUAAUGAUGGGGCCGUCGGUUCAAAUCCGAUACGUGGCU